GAUGAACGCUGGCGGCGUGCCUAAUACAUGCAAGUCGAGCGAACAGACGAGGAGCUUUCUCCUCUGACGUUAGCGGCGGACGUGUGUGUAACACGUGGAUAACCUACCUAUAAGACUGGGAUAACUUCGAAAAACCGGAGAUAAUACCGGAUAAUAUAUUUAACCGCAGGGUUCAAUAGUUAAAGACGCUUUUGCUAUCACUUAUAGAUCGAUCCGUUCGGCAUUAGAUGGGUUGGAAGGUCACGGAUUACCAAAGCAACGAUGCGUAGCCGACCUGAGAGGGGGAGCAGCCACCCUAGAACUGAGACAAGACACAGACUACUACGGGAGGCAGCAGUAGGGAAUCGUACGCAAUGGGCGAAAGCAUGACGGAGAAAAGCCGCGUGAGUGAUGAAGGUCUUCGGAUCGUAAAACUCUGUUAUUAGGGAAGAACAAAUGUGUAAGUAACUAUGCACGUCUUGACGGUACCUAAUCAGAAAGCAACGGCUAACUCCGUG
rnacentral:rRNA from 1 species